rnacentral:rRNA from 1 species
GGUGAACGCUGGCGGCGUGCCUAAUACAUGCAAGUCGAGCGAACAGACGAGGAGCUUUCUCCUCUGACGGUAGCGGCUGACGGGUGGGUAACACGUGGAUAACCUACCUAUAAGACUGGGAGAACUUCGUGAAACCGGAGCUAAUACCGCAUAAUAUAUUCAACCGCAGGGUUCAAUAGUGAAAGACGGUUUUGCUGUCACUUAUAGAUGGAUCCGCGCCGGAUUAGCUAGUUGGUAAGGUAACGGCUUACCAAGGCAACGAUGCGUAGCCGACCUGAGAGGGUGAUCGGCCACACUGGAACUGAGACACGGUCCAGACUCCUACGGGAGGCAGCAGUAGGGAAUCUUCCGCAAUGGGCGCAAGCCUGACGGAGCAACGCCGCGUGAGUGAUGAAGGUCUUCGGAUCGUAAAACUCUGUUAUUAGGGAAGAAAAAAUGUGUAAGUAAAUAUGCACGUCUUGACGGUACCUAAUCAGAAAGCAACGGCUAACUACGUG